GACGUAGGGCGCGAGCGUUGUCCGGAUUUAUUGGGCGUAAAGAGCUCGUAGGCGGCUCGUCGCGUCGACUGUGAAAACCCGCGGCUCAACUGCGGGCCUGCAGCCGAUACGGGCAGGCUAGAGUUCGGCAGGGGAGACUGGAAUUCCUGGUGUAGCGGUGAAAUGCGCAGAUAUCGAGAGGAACACCUGCGGCGAAGGCGGGUUGCUGGGCUGACACUGACGCUGAACUGCGAAAGCUAGGGGAGCGAACGGG
rnacentral:rRNA from 1 species